UACCGCUUUUAGCUGUACAAAACUUAAACAGUUUUCGUAAAUGCAUUUCAGAGAAAAGUGAAUUCUGAGAUUUGAAUAAUGCAUCUGACGUGUGUGUGAUGACGUCACGACGCACGUAUUUUGAUUUUUACCAGUCGUUCAAGGCGGACGGAUUCAGUCCCAAGAAGCUAAAGUUUUUCAAAGACAUUUGUAGGGAGGACUUUGCAGCUAAUGGAGCUGAAGUAUUUUAUGUAAGGAGGAUUUUGCAGCCCAUAUAGAUUUCCUUAGGCUGAACCAAAACCUGCCAGACUAAAGUUGAUUUGGGAGAGAAAGACGUUGUAAACUCAAUCAUCUUGACAUUCUUCAAUGAGUAAUUGUUCAAUUUUUAGGCAAAUACUGUACACUUUGAAUGCUGUGAAUAAAACUAUAUUUUAAAUAUAUUUAAAAUGAA